GUCUACGGCCAUACCACCCUGAACACGCCCGAUCUCGUCUGAUCUCGGAAGCUAAGCAGGGUCGGGCCUGGUUAGUACUUGGAUGGGACACAACAUGUGUCCUCCUUAAUACUCAUCACUGGAUU
rnacentral:rRNA from 1 species